GACAUGUUAUUAAGCAGGAAAUAGUUUAAAUAGAAUGUCAGCUUUGGGUGUUGACGGUGGAGCGGUAGUGCUUCUUUCCUGA
rnacentral:tRNA from 1 species